CGGUCGGGCCGAGGGAUCGGGGUGGUGAGGGCGAAGUACGGCCGCGCUCCAGGGAUCUCUCCGUGCAACCUUAAGGCUCUGUUUUCCUGCCUCAUCCGCCUGGGCACGGGAGCAAGCGCGAGGGCCUCACCCUCGGGUCUCGGUGUGGCGCCUCCAGGCAGCAACACGGUUAAAUGGGAAAAAAAUACAAGUGGAAGGGAAGGGGUCACAAAAUCACUUAGGCUGGAAAAGACCUCUUGAGAUUGAGUCCCACCUAAGACUGAACACCACGUUAGCUAGACCACAGCACUGAGUGGCACAGCACCACGUCCAGUCUUUCCUUAAACACCUUCAAGAACGGUGACUUCACCACCUCCCCCGAGCAGCCCAUUCCAAUGUCUGAAUCACCCUUUCUGUUGAGAACUUCUUCCUAAUGUCCAACCUAAAUCUCCCCUGGCACAUCUUAAGACUACAUCCUCUCAUCCUGUUACUGGUUGCCUGGGAGAACAGGCCGACCCCCACCCGGCUACAACUUCCUUGCAGAGUCCCACACUUUGAAUACAGCAAGAAUAUUUGGCAUGAAUUUCAGAAAGGUUUGUUCAUGGAACUACUGCUUUUGAAAUGUCAAGUAGCGGGCUUAUAGAUAUCUUGCUUGUUAUCCUGAACUGCUGAGAAGCAUUGUGAGUGGAGACCAGCGCAGCACCCAAGCCAAUAAUCCUAACUGGUGCAUUUCUCUGCAUCGUCAUGAGAGGACUGAGGUUGUUAGUGAUUCUAAAAAGCUGUAGUUUGAGACAGACAGGCCAAGCUGCUGGGCUCUUUCUGGACACAGCUAAUGCUGUUAAGAAGAAUUAAUUAGUGGACAGUGGUCCUUGUCCGGGGAUCAAGGAAGGAAGAAGAAGCAGGGUGUGGAGGAGGAAUCAUCAGCAAGGAAACUCAGGUGCAGAAAAGCUGAGACUCGUUAAUUCUUUGUUUUGGUACGAGUGUGGUGAAAAUUGAUUAUAGUAACUUUGACCAUCUCUGCAAAAACAUAGUCCUGCCUCAAGUCAAAUGAUCCUUUGGCUUUGGGAGGAGUUUCAUAUCAAUGUCAAUUAAUUUCCUCCUUGGGUUGUAGAAACAGGAAGGAAUGAAGCCCUUGAAAGGAGUGGUGUCUAAUCUCUAGAGUUUUAGAAUACUUUCAUUUUCCCUGAAAUUACUCCUUCUUGUUCACCAUAAUCAAACAAAAAAAUACAAAAUGUAGCAUUUAUAGUGUGUCUAUUGAAAAGUCAUUACAAAAUUUUCAGUUUAAUAAAGCUGUUCUUGAACAUUGCCUCACAAAUCUGGCCGUGCUGUUUCUUGAGGCAAUAUAAUGCUGUUUUUCAGGCUGACUGUUCUUGUCAUGUUAGAGUAGAGGGAGCUGUGUAUCUCGUUAUAUAAGAAAACCCCUAUUUUAAAUUGGAUGUGAUACUGAAUGAUCAUAAAUGUCAGUAUUUCAGAAUGGCCAUGGGCAGUUCUACUCACUAGGCUGAGGUAAAAUAUUGAUUUACUUGUUGUUCCCCCCCUUGCACCCCACUCAGUGAAAAUAGUAUGUGCAGGAUGUCUCCUUGGCUUGAGCCAAGAUCUUCCAGAAUGCUGCUCUUAUUUCCAGUUGGCAGUACUACUCAUACAGAGCCAUCCUAAAC